UACGAAGGGGGCUAGCGUUGCUCGGAAUCACUGGGCGUAAAGCGCACGUAGGCGGCUUUCUAAGUCAGGGGUGAAAUCCUGGAGCUCAACUCCAGAACUGCCUUCGAUACUGAAGAUCUCGAGUCCGGGAGAGGUGAGUGGAACUCCGAGUGUAGAGGUGAAAUUCGUAGAUAUUCGGAAGAACACCAGUGGCGAAGGCGGCUCACUGGCCCGGUACUAACGCUGAGGUGCGAAAGCGUGGGGAGCAAACAGG
rnacentral:rRNA from 1 species